UCUGGCUAGUGAACUCUGAGGAUGGGCACGAACAGUGCUGAUGUGUUUAAUGAGAGUUCAUUGCUCCUAAGAACCAAGAUGAGAUCGUAGAGAACACGGAAUCAUUUCAAGGUAGGACACAAAAAGGGAUGCGACUGCAGAGAACACGGAAUCAUUUCAAGGUAGGACACAAAAAGGGAUGCGACUGCAGAGAACACGGAAUCAUUUCAAGGUAGGACACAAAAAGGGUAGCGAAAUCGAUACAAAACAAAACAGAAACCAGAAAGGAGAAGAAAAGCCUCCAUCCUGCGGGAGGGCUUGAUGAAGGACAUGCAAGAGGGUGCUCCAAUCACUCAGUGAAGAGCAUGUCAGAUUAUCACUGGGUUUGGUGCCUGCAGAAAGGAAGACAGCUUAAGUGCUACACGGGUCACAGAUGACAACAUCACAAUCAAUUCUGCUCCUGUCAUUGGACAACACAGAGAGAUGGCCGAAUGACUAGCCCUGAGGCCUUCACUGUGGCAGAAACAUGACUGAGGAGUACCGUGCUAUGCCCAGAGAGCCUGAGAGAAGUGCUGUUUCUCAGAUCUUAGCCUGGUUUGAAUCCCCCUGGAGCUCUCACUAUUGCAAACAUUUAUUGCCGCUGCCUUGUUCCCGAGUACUGCAUCCGAACCACCUCUGACUCUAUGGCAAUGGAUGUUCACUGAGUGAUUGGAGCACCCUCUUGCAUGUCCUUCCUGAGUGUAUUAAAGGAUAUUAUUGGUAGCCACUCCUAACAUUUCCUUAAAGAUCUCUUUAUAAAAGUCACCCUUCCUCAGCAGACCAAAUAGUCCUUCACGAAGAAGGAAAAUGAAUGAAGAAAGUCAAUGUUUUUAUUGAGGUUAUUAUCUGGGUGUAACACUUUUGGCCUACUGGUCUACCCAGGCGUAGGGCUAAAGAAUCCUUGCAAAUAGCAACGGACCAACCCCAUGCUACCGUGACUUUAUUAUAGGCAUUAAAAAGCAAACAGGAAGGGCUUGAGCAAUUUAAAGAUGGUCCCUUUGCUAUGAGGAAUUGUGACAUGGCUACUGAAUGGGUGGCUUAGCACUGUGCCUGGCACAGAAAACCAGACUGGAAACGUUACUUGUCAUCUGGUGCACUGAUAGCUACGCGGGAGCAGGGGGAUUGUCUUACUAAUCAGUGUGACCUCAUUGGCUAGAGAGCCCACCUGGGCUCAGCUCGCUGCCAAGUGUGGAGACUGAGCCCGACAGAAUGGCCAAUCCUAAUGUGACCUUACACUUAUCAGGCGCCAAACUGCCAUAGGUCACUGACCUCAAAUGUGCUGAGAAGACAGGCACUAGUGACCAUCAGAUGACCUCAGACCACCUCUUAAACCAAUCACUGUGCCACACCAUUGGUGUCCGUCCACUCACAGUGACAAAUAUAAGUGACGACGGAUCUGAUGGGGACCUGGAUAAAGCCAGCUUGGCUGUAUCAGUGCCUGACAAAGUGAUGUUCCUGGUCAGUCUCAAGGCAGACAGGGAUGCUGACGUGUGAAAGAGGCAUCUUAUGGCCUAAUGAAAAAACAGAAGCUGGACCAGUGGUGGUCUUCUCCAUCUCCCACAGGAGUAAGACAUCUUUCCAGGACCUCCUGAACAUCCUUCACAGAAUGGGAGAAAGAUCGCACACCGCAGAGAUCAAAAAGAGAGGCGCUACACACGGCAUCCACCUGGGCCCCCUCGUUUCAUUUCAUGAGCCUCAUUCAACCCCAAACUCAUACUACAGUGUCCUGACCUCAGAACUGAAUUUUUUUCUAACAUAGUUACUCUUAGAAUUCAGUUAAGAGCAACAUUGAAGCUUUAGGUUUGAUAGUGUUAAAACAGAAAUUUAAAUAUAUGCAUAAAAGUCUAUGCUAGUUCAUAAAAAUGUAACUCUAAACUUGGAUCCUGACUGACUAGUUUUUCACCAGUUCACUACAAAUGCCUAUAUUUGAGGCAGAUCCACCAAGCGUGGAUGCUUAACUAAAACUAGCCAAAUAAUAAAAAAUCACAGCGGUCCAUUCUCUUGUAUUCUCCAUGAAAUGUUCACAAGUCCUAAAUAUUUUGCAACUUCUAUUUCUAUUCUUAGAAAAUGACUCUCAAAUGAAAAAUCGGACUUAUGUGGAAAUAGCUGCUUCUCAUGAAUUCCACCUCUCACCAGUAACUUUCCACUAUCAUUAUACCGUGUCCUAAACAAGGGAUUAGCACAGCGAUGGAGAAUCUCAACUACGGGAAGAUCCAGGAAAACCAAAUAGCCAUCACAGAAUUAUCCCAGGCUUGCUUUUUAAUCAAGCUAGUUUGGGAGUUUGUUUGCUUUAGUUUAAUAGCAAUCGUCCCUAGCAUCCUCCAGGGAGAGCUAAAAGCAACACGGAGACGAGAUGAGUAUGGUAACCCUCGGGUACUUUCAGUGUUUUAGUCUCCCGGUUGUACUUGGCCAUUCUAUUCCUGUCCUUCUAAUUCCCUCCCAUGAAUUAUCACAGGUAUCAUCUCUCUAGACUAAACAACCGGAGACAAAACAAACAAGGAUCAGUCGUGGGCAGGACGCAAGGAGAACGCCGGGCGCUUGACAGAGGGUAGGGUUGCAUUCAUUGUACAAGCUUAUACCAAGCAUCUGCUAAACGAUUGCAGUUGGCUGAUCCAGAGCCUAAGGAAGAAGACAGCUGGGCACAUGGGCCAACACAACAAGGAUGGUGCGUGAUGACAGCUACCGCCUAUACUGUGGAGGGAGAAGUGAGCUGGAAUGAGGCAGACCAGAGGGUUCACAGGGAAGGUAACGUUAGGAGCUGAGCCUGGGGGUCUGAUAAAAAAACCAACUUCUUAGGAGACAGACAAUAGGUGGAAGCAAAAUCCAGACAGAUGGAAAAGCAUGGGCUGAGCCCAAAAUAGGAAACGGUAGCCAUGUGUUACGAAGAACUUGGAUUCCAGCCAAGGAUGCGAAAACGAAGAGUAGAAAGACCAGGGUGACUGACGGAGGAGAAGAGCUCUUGGCAGGGCUACUCAACUGGGAAAGGGUGCACGAAAAUUCUGAGUCACAUAACAGCUCCCCGGUCCCGGGAAACCGUGGUUCUGUCCCAUGUUCCUGUGAUCUCAUGAGCCAAGGGUAGGGUGUCUGUCUCCAAUGAGAAGGAAGACCUACUGUCUGCAGGCUCGAACACAGGGAAAGCCUCUGCCCCAAAUCCAAUAUACAUCUGGUAACUUCCAGCCACUAAAGAAUCUAGUUGGUCUUUGAAAAAUCACUGAAGACAUUAACUGUCCCUACCUUUCUUUGGAGUGAUUGUGGUGACAGGGGUGCCAGAGCCACGUGAUUGUUGGCCGAGGGAUGCCAUACACGGUGCAAGUGAGGACUUGUCUGCUGCCCAGCGGAUAGAGAGGUGGGCUUGGAAGCGAGGACACGGACUUUUCGUAGAUCUGAGGUUUCACUAGAGAGGAAGAGAAGCAGAGUGAGGUCAAGGGCAGAGCCGGGGGCUUCCUCCGGGAGCUCUCUGGAGAGACCAGUCACACUGGCUUUGGAUGCCGCGGGUAGGGGAGCAAAAAAUGGUCAUAUUACGUAGAAAAAUGCCUAUUGGUGAGACAUAAAAGCCACCUUGCAUACAAAAGAUAAGAAAACAUGAAUAGUUGAGCCGUGGUGGCACACUCCAUUAGUCCCAGCAUUUGGGAGGCAGAGGCAGGCGGAUCUCUGAAUUCAAGGACAGCCUGGUCACAGCCAGGGCUACACACACACACACACACCACAGAGAAAUUGUGAAGUGGUUAUGACAGGGACAGAGUGUGGCGUUUUUUCCUCUGUUUUUCCGUGGUGCUAGGGAUAGAACCAGUGUUUCCUACUUAGGGGGCAAGUGCUCUGCUACUGAACUCCAUCCGAACCAUUAGAAGCGGUUUAAGAAUAUAAACAUGUAUGUGGGGCUAAAGAGAUGGCUUAGCAGUUAAGAGCACUGGCUGCUCUUGCAAGAGGAUCUGGGUUUGAUUCUCAGGCUGGCUCACAACCAUCUGUCAGUUCCAGGGGAGUUGACAUCCUUUUCUGACCUGCUCAGACACUAGGCAUGCAUGUGGCACACAUACAUACAUACACCACACAGGCAAAACACUCAUAUAAUAAAAUAAAAUAAACUCAAGAAUCAAUUUUUUUAAAA